rnacentral:rRNA from 1 species
AGAUUAAGUUGUUAAGGGCGCACGGUGGAUGCCUUGGCACUAGAAGCCGAUGAAGGACGUUACUAACGACGAUAUGCUUUGGGGAGCUGUAAGUAAGCUUUGAUCCAGAG